rnacentral:rRNA from 1 species
UACGUAGGGGGCAAGCGUUAUCCGGAUUUACUGGGUGUAAAGGGGGCGCAGACGGCGAUGCAAGCCAGGAGUGAAAGCCCGGGGCCCAACCCCGGGACUGCUCUUGGAACUGCGUGGCUGGAGUGCAGGAGGGGCAGGCGGAAUUCCUGGUGUAGCGGUGAAAUGCGUAGAUAUCAGGAGGAACACCGGCGGCGAAGGCGGCUUACUGGACUGUAACUGACGUUGAGGCUCGAAAGCGUGGGGAGCAAACAGG